rnacentral:tRNA from 1 species
GCAUUGGUAGUUCAGUGGUAGAAUUCUUGCCUUCCACACAGGAGACCUGGGUUUGAUCCCCAGUCAAUGUA